GCCAGUCAGCGCGCAGCGUGCUCGAUAAUGAGGCACACAGCGAAGUUUUAUUUGCAGCGAGUUGUACGGUCUCGGACCUUCGAGAAUUCACGAGGUUUCGCGAGCGUUCGGCAGUGCCCCUGGAAGAUCGACGAGAAACCCGUUUUCGCGGCAGUGUUGGGCCAACAUGGAGGGGUCAAGUACGCAGAGUGAUUUACCCAUUUUCCCUGUCAAGAUGGUUGGACACAACAUCCGCACUGGAAGAUGAACAUGACCAAUUUUAAUGGAACUCUAUUAUUUUACCAUGGAUUGAACUUUCCCAUUUUUGUGGUACAACCGGAUUUUGCAUGUUUAAUUCAAUGACGUGUGAUCAACAACUCACAAACUGACGAAUCAGGCGCCGGGGAUUCUUACGCCAUGUCGCAUGGAAUAUUGCAUGUAUUGUUCGUUGAUAAAAAAACCCGAGGAAUAAGCACUUUCAUGGUACAUGUAAUAUGCGCCAUCUUGUUCACAUAGCAAGAAGAACAAGCAUUGCUAGAUGCGGACACAUUUUGUAAUGUACACAUUUUGGAAUGAACGCAUGAUGACUUGGAAGCACAAAAGGUUUUGUUUGAUGACGUGUAGACUGCAACGCAUGUAAAUUUGCCCGGUAAGAAAAAUGACGCAUUACAGUGAAAAAAAAUAAUCAGUUCAAUCAAAUUUCUCUAAAUAUCAACUUCCAGUUUUAUUUCACAAAUUAAUCAAUGUCAGUAGCCUUUAUGCUGUAUAUUGAAAACCGAUAAUACAAUACAAACCUCUGCGAACGACUGUACACUGCACUCGAAGUACAUAUCGAUGUUCUGAAAAUACGCAGACUGCGUAACAUUAUGAACCACUGGCAACUUUGCUGAUCGUCUGCGAAACAGUUUGCAUCUGUCUGAGUUGUCGGCGACACUUCCAGAUGAAAUGUUUCCAUAUUAUCUGUUCUGCAGUUUUGGUCCCUUUUUUUUGUUUCACUUUGCGUUUCUUACGUUGAGAUGGAAACUAGCCUGAAUAGAAUUGAUUGCUUGUUAGUUUGUAACCAUUGCAAUCUUAAAUUUGUAUUAUUUGUUCUUAUACGCCUGCAUUCUUACCCUUGUAAUUAUUAAGAAAUGCAAUUUAUUGUUAUUGCCAAGGGCUGGAGCGGUUGAAUAAUCUUGCCUUAAAACAAAUUGCUGACACGUGGAAUUUUAUAAGCUCAUGGUCUUAUACAUGUCGCAAGAGUAUAGUUACUGUACAUGUACAUUGUACAUCAGUGUUCUCCAGAGCAUUAAAAACCUCACACAAUAAAGAAACUGUGCCUUAAUUUUCAUGUUCACUUUUUUUUUUAGAUCUAUAUUUGUAAGUUAUUCCAUGUUGUGAGAAACUUUCAUUUGUAAAGUUUUUUUUCUUGGAAACUGAAAGUGGUUCAAAUAUUAAAGUGUUUCAGUAUACCUUAAUGUUUAACUAAAUGCAGCUGAAAGUAUGUAAUUGUGAUUUCAUGAAUAAAGUGUUUCCCAGAAUUUCAGUCAAGAAAAGAGA
rnacentral:lncRNA from 1 species